GCAAGUCGAGCGGGAACAGAAGGGAGCUUGCUCCCGGAUGUUAGCGGCGGACGGGUGAGUAACACGUGGGUAACCUGCCUGUAAGACUGGGAUAACUCCGGGAAACCGGAGCUAAUACCGGAUAGUUCCUUGAACCGCAUGGUUCAAGGAUGAAAGACGGUUUCGGCUGUCACUUACAGAUGGACCCGCGGCGCAUUAGCUAGUUGGUGGGGUAAUGGCUCACCAAGGCGACGAUGCGUAGCCGACCUGAGAGGGUGAUCGGCCACACUGGGACUGAGACACGGCCCAGACUCCUACGGGAGGCAGCAGUAGGGAAUCUUCCGCAAUGGACGAAAGUCUGACGGAGCAACGCCGCGUGAGUGAUGAAGGUUUUCGGAUCGUAAAGCUCUGUUGUUAGGGAAGAACAAGUGCGAGAGUAACUGCUCGCACCUUGACGGUACCUAACCAGAAAGCCACGGCUAACUACGUGCCAGCAGCCGCGGUAAUACGUAGGUGGCAAGCGUUGUCCGGAAUUAUUGGGCGUAAAGGGCUCGCAGGCGGUUUCUUAAGUCUGAUGUGAAAGCCCCCGGCUCAACCGGGGAGGGUCAUUGGAAACUGGGAAACUUGAGUGCAGAAGAGGAGAGUGGAAUUCCACGUGUAGCGGUGAAAUGCGUAGAGAUGUGGAGGAACACCAGUGGCGAAGGCGACUCUCUGGUCUGUAACUGACGCUGAGGAGCGAAAGCGUGGGGAGCGAACAGGAUUAGAUACCCUGGUAGUCCACGCCGUAAACGAUGAGUGCUAAGUGUUAGGGGGUUUCCGCCCCUUAGUGCUGCAGCUAACGCAUUAAGCACUCCGCCUGGGGAGUACGGUCGCAAGACUGAAACUCAAAGGAAUUGACGGGGGCCCGCACAAGCGGUGGAGCAUGUGGUUUAAUUCGAAGCAACGCGAAGAACCUUACCAGGUCUUGACAUCCUCUGACAACCCUAGAGAUAGGGCUUUCCCUUCGGGGACAGAGUGACAGGUGGUGCAUGGUUGUCGUCAGCUCGUGUCGUGAGAUGUUGGGUUAAGUCCCGCAACGAGCGCAACCCUUGAUCUUAGUUGCCAGCAUUCAGUUGGGCACUCUAAGGUGACUGCCGGUGACAAACCGGAGGAAGGUGGGGAUGACGUCAAAUCAUCAUGCCCCUUAUGACCUGGGCUACACACGUGCUACAAUGGACAGAACAAAGGGCUGCAAGACCGCAAGGUUUAGCCAAUCCCAUAAAUCUGUUCUCAGUUCGGAUCGCAGUCUGCAACUCGACUGCGUGAAGCUGGAAUCGCUAGUAAUCGCGGAUCAGCAUGCCGCGGUGAAUA
rnacentral:rRNA from 1 species